rnacentral:rRNA from 1 species
UUGAAAUUAAUUUUUAUUCUAGGUUUUACAUGUUAAGCAGUGUAAAGCUAAAAAGUAUUGGCGGUAUUUAAUUUUUCCGAGAAUUUUGUUUAUUUAAAUUGAUAUUACACAUUUUAUCUUAUCUUGAUUUAUUGUUUAUAUAUUGCUGUUUAAUUUAUAAGUUGAUUGGGAAAAUAUGUAGAAUUUAAUUUAAUUUAGUAAAAUUCAAGUCAAAAUGUAGUGUAUUAAGAUAUAAAUGAAAUGCUUUUUUAUGAAGAAAGAAAUUAAUAGAAUAAAAUUUUUUAUUGAGAAGAGGAUUGGAUAGUAAAUAAAAAUUAGUGGGUUUUAUUGAUAUUUUUUAGAUAUGU